GUGGGGAAUAUUCCGCAAUGGACGAAAGUCUGACGGAGCAACGCCGCGUGAGUGAUGAAGGUUUUCGGACUGUAAAGCUCUGUUGUUUAGGACGAAAGUGCCUGUUGCGAACAGUUACAGGUAUUGACGGUACUAAACGAGGAAGCCACGGCUAACUACGUGCCAGCAGCCGCGGUAAUACGUAGGUGGCAAGCGUUGUCCGGAAUUAUUGGGCGUAAAGAGCAUGUAGGCGGAGAUUUAAGUCUGUUGUGAAAAUGCGGGGCUCAACCCCGUAUUGCGAUGGAAACUGAAUUUCUUGAGUGCAGGAGAGGAAAGGGGAAUUCCCAGUGUAGCGGUGAAAUGCGUAGAUAUUGGGAGGAACACCAGUGGCGAAGGCGCCUUUCUGGACUGUGUCUGACGCUGAGAUGCGAAAGCCAGGGUAGCGAACGGGAUUAGAAACCCCAGUAGUCC
rnacentral:rRNA from 1 species